UGGACAGAUUAUUGUAUUCGACUGUAUUCGAUUCUAUUCACGACAUGAAACAGGGUAAACAGAAAGUGAAUCAAUUAACAUAAUAGACUCCU
rnacentral:pre_miRNA from 1 species